rnacentral:rRNA from 1 species
UACGUAGGGUGCGAGCGGUAAACGGAAUUACUGGGCGUAAAGCGUGCGCAGGCGGCUCUUCAAGUCAGAUGUGAAAGCCCCGGGCUUAACCUGGGAAUGGCGUUUGAAACUGGAGGGCUGGAGUGUGGCAGAGGGAGGUGGAAUUCCACGUGUAGCAGUGAAAUGCGUAGAGAUGUGGAGGAACACCGAUGGCGAAGGCAGCCUCCUGGGCCAACACUGACGCUCAUGCCCGAAAGCGUGGGGAGCAAUCAGG